GUAUCAGUAUUACAAGUGACAGGCCUGUCAUCCCGGGCCCCUCAUAGUGCCCUAUGCCAGAGCAAACUGUGGCCCUGGACCAUGGCCUGGCCUCUGUUCCUGUGGGCUUCUGGCACUGAAGCCGUUUGCACAGUG